rnacentral:rRNA from 1 species
GACGAACGCUGGCGGCGUGCCUAAUACAUGCAAGUCGAGCGGAUCUUCAUUAGCUUGCUUUUGAAGAUCAGCGGCGGACGGGUGAGUAACACGUGGGCAACCUGCCUGUAAGACUGGGAUAACUUCGGGAAACCGGAGCUAAUACCGGAUAAUCCUUUUCCUCUCAUGAGGAAAAGUUGAAAGACGGUUUCGGCUGUCACUUACAGAUGGGCCCGCGGCGCAUUAGCUAGUUGGUGAGGUAACGGCUCACCAAGGCGACGAUGCGUAGCCGACCGGGGAGGGGGAUCGGCCACACUGGGACUGAGACACGGCCCAGACUCCUACGGGAGGCAGCAGUAGGGAAUCGUCCGCAAUGGACGAAAGUCUGACGGAGCAACGCCGCGUGAGCGAUGAAGGCCUUCGGGUCGUAAAGCUCUGUUGUCAGGGAAGAACAAGUACCGGAGUAACUGCCGGUACCUUGACGGUACCUGACCAGAAAGCCACGGCUAACUACGUGCCAGCCGCCGCCGUAA